UACGUAGGCGGAUCAGAAAGUAUGGGGUGAAAUCCCAGGGCUCAACCCUGGAACUGCCUCAUAAACUCCUGGUCUAGAAUUCGAGAGAGGUGAGUGGAAUUCCGAGUGUAGAGGUGAAAUUCGUAGAUAUUCGGAGGAACACCAGUGGCGAAGGCGGCUCACUGGCUCGAUACUGACGCUGAGGUACGAAAGUGUGGGGAGCAAACAGGAUUAGAUACCCUGGUAGUCC
rnacentral:rRNA from 1 species